rnacentral:rRNA from 1 species
AUUGAACGCUGGCGGCGUGCCUUACACAUGCAAGUCGAACGGCAGCACGGGAGCAAUCCUGGUGGCGAGUGGCGAACGGGUGAGUAAAGUAUCGGAACGUGCCCAGUCGUGGGGGAUAACGUAGCGAAAGUUACGCUAAUACCGCAUACGAUCUAUGGAUGAAAGCGGGGGAUCGCAAGACCUCGCGCGAUUGGAGCGGCCGAUAUCAGAUUAGGUAGUUGGUGGGUUAAAGGCGCACCAAGCCGACGAUCUGUAGCUGGUCUGAGAGGACGACCAGCCACACUGGGACUGAGACACGGCCCAGACUCCUACGGGAGGCAGCAGUGGGGAAUUUUGGACAAUGGGCGAAAGCCUGAUCCAGCCAUGCCGCGUGCAGGAUGAAGGCCUUCGGGUUGUAAACUGCUUUUGUACGGAACGAAAAGGUUUGGCCUAAUAAGCUGAGCUCAUGACGGUACCGUAAGAAUAAGCACCGGCUAACUACGUGCCAGCAGCCGCGGUAAAAC